rnacentral:tRNA from 1 species
GGUGGCUCAGUGGUUAAGUGCUUGACUGCUAACCAAAAGGUUGGUGGUUCAAACCCACUAGCCA